rnacentral:pre_miRNA from 1 species
AAAAAGACAAACCCUAAGUUAACGUGUCCAACGUCCAUCUUAUAUAAAAUUCUUUUAUAAUUAAUAUUUUCAUUGUUGUUAGAUGAUAAAACAUGAUUAAUAUUUUAUGCGUGACUCGUUUUUUUAAUAUUUUUUAUAAUUUUUUAAAUAAGACUAACGAUCAAACGUUAGAUACGAAAAUUUAGGGUU